CCUACGGGCGGCUGCAGUAGGGAAUCUUCGGCAAUGGGGGGAACCCUGACCGAGCAACGCCGCGUGAGUGAAGAAGGUUUUCGGAUCGUAAAGCUCUGUUGUAAGAGAAGAACGUGUGUGAGAGUGGAAAGUUCACACAGUGACGGUAACUUACCAGAAAGGGACGGCUAACUACGUGCCAGCAGCCGCGGUAAUACGUAGGUCCCGAGCGUUGUCCGGAUUUAUUGGGCGUAAAGCGAGCGCAGGCGGUUUGAUAAGUCUGAAGUAAAAGGCUGGGGCUUAACCAUAGUAUGCUUUGGAAACUGUCAAACGUGAGGGCAGAAGGGGAGAGUGGAAUUCCAUGUGUAGCGGUGAAAUGCGUAGAUAGAUGGAGGAACACCGGUGGCGAAAGCGGCUCUCUGGUCUGUAACUGACGCUGAGGCUCGAAAGCGUGGGGAGCAAACAGGAUUAGAUACCCCGGUAGUC
rnacentral:rRNA from 1 species